CCGCAAUCCGCCAAUCGGGCAGCCCGAGCCGCGGAAGGAUGUUUUCCCACUGAGCGCCGGGGUGCCCGGCAGACUGUGAGCG
rnacentral:ncRNA from 4 species